rnacentral:rRNA from 1 species
GCCGACGCUGGCGGCGUGCUUAACACAUGCAGUCGAACGAUGAAGCGCCAGCUUGCUGGUGUGGAUUAGUGGCGAACGGGUGAGUAACACGUGAGUAACCUGCCCCCUACUCUGGGAUAAGCCUGGGAAACUGGGUCUAAUACUGGAUAUGACCAAUCACUGCAUGGUGUGUUGGUGGAAAGAUUUUUUGGUGGGGGAUGGACUCGCGGCCUAUCAGCUUGUUGGUGGGGUAAUGGCCUACCAAGGCGACGACGGGUAGCCGGCCUGAGAGGGCGACCGGCCACACUGGGACUGAGACACGGCCCAGACUCCUACGGGAGGCAGCAGUGGGGAAUAUUGCACAAUGGGCGAAAGCCUGAUGCAGCGACGCCGCGUGAGGGAUGACGGCCUUCGGGUUGUAAACCUCUUUCACCAGGGACGAAGCUAACGUGACGGUACCUGGAGAAGAAGCACCGGCUAACUACGUGCCAGCAGCCGCGGUAAUACGUAGGGUGCGAGCGUUGUCCGGAAUUAUUGGGCGUAAAGAGCUUGUAGGCGGUUUGUCGCGUCUGCUGUGAAAGACCGGGGCUUAACUCCGGUUCUGCAGUGGGUACGGGCAGA